rnacentral:lncRNA from 1 species
AGUGUAUGGUUGUAUGGAGGAGCUUUGAGUCCAGAUUCUUUUCAUUCCAGCUAGGUGCCUACGGGAAGUUCAUCUAACCUGUGAAAGAUGUGGCCUCUUAACAAACACAUGUCUGGGUUGCUACUUGGUCCCAGUGUACAACAUGAUUCAUAUCCAUAUGCUGAGGUUCCCAUCCUGAUCCCAGAGCUGCACCACUUCAGGAGACAAAAGGGAGACUUACAUAAAGAGGACAGACAAUGUUUGAUAGACCUUGGCCCCCACUUGAACCCUGCAGUCUGCUCUUCCUUGGAAAGAAUCCCAUUUCAGACAGACACUUCUGGCAGAAGGUGCUGACAGACGUGGGAUGAGGCCGGAACUCGUGUCCUGUGACAAUCACCAGCUUUCUGAGGCCUACUCAUGUGUCUGUGCAGAAUGGCCACUUCUGGAUUCUGUUUUCAAAAAACAACAGUGACC